rnacentral:lncRNA from 1 species
CUGGAUCUCAAUCUCUUAGUUACGUUACUCCCAAUUAAGCUGAUGUAUGCUCACAAAGCGUCAUUAUGUGAUUUAAUCACAGAGCAUUUUGAAUUAAUUAUACACGGGCAUUUUAUAACAUUCUAGGUGCCUCAUUAAAAUUGGUGCUGCUUUUAAUAGAUACAUAAAUGAGUGUGGCUGUGGUAUUGAAGUUCCAAUCCUGAGAAAUAUCCCCUACUGAAGUCAAAGUAACAAAAUGACAUCAUGCAAUGUGAUCAUCCACUCGGUCUUGACUUCAAAUGAACUUGACUCUCCAAUAUUAAAUCUACCUUGGAUGAUCAGCUGCUACCAGUGGAGUUACUUGAAUGAACAUGCUGCCAAUUCUGAAAGCUGAGCUCAAACUCUUGGAAUCAAGGAAUCCUCCCACCUUGGCCUCCUGAGCAGCCAGGACUGCAAGCACAUGCCACUGCACCUGGAUUAAGAACAGCUUUUAAAAGGUGAUAUUUCUUUGUAGUUAUGCCUCCUACAAGUGGCCAAAAACCCAUAUGUUGUCAAUCUGCCAUUAAACUACACAUUCAAAAAAUCACUAACUGAUCUGAAAGCUCCCCACAAAGCAGAAGAGCUGAAAUUCUUUGAGCCCCUGAAUACUGGAACUGAAAUGUUGGUAAAAUAUCAAGCCUGCAUCCCAGAUCUCCCCUGGGUGAAUCUAGGUAUGGGCAGUUCUCUGCUUAUAAGUUAAGGUCAAGUUCAGGUUGGUGAAAUCCACGCUUGUUGUAGGUGAAGAAUUUAGGUUUCGAGCUUUUGGAUACAUCCUCAGUGACCACACGAGGGCUAAUACCUUUUAAAGAUUUAAUGAAGGGCAAGGGAACUGCUUUUUCAGGACAUAGUCCUGUUGUGUUUUGGCACUAUCUGGAGAGCUUACCAGAGAUAGGUGGAAAAUUUCAUUUCAGCCUCUA